rnacentral:rRNA from 1 species
UACGAAGGGGCUAGCGUUGCUCGGAAUCACUGGGCGUAAAGCGCACGUAGGCGGCUUUGCAAGUCGGAUGUGAAAUCCCUCGGCUCAACCAAGGAAGUGCAUCCGAAACUGCAGAGCUUGAGUACUUAAGAGGAUCGCGGAAUUCCCGGUGUAGAGGUGAAAUUCGUAGAUAUCGGGAGGAACACCAGUGGCGAAGGCGGCGAUCUGGGAAGAUACUGACGCUGAGGUGCGAAAGCGUGGGGAGCAAACAGG